UACGUAGGUGGCAAGCGUUGUCCGGAUUUAUUGGGCGUAAAGCGAGCGCAGGCGGUUCCUUAAGUUUGAUGUGAAAGCCCCCGGCUCAACCGGGGAGGGUCAUUGGAAACUGGGGAACUUGAGUGGAGAAGGGGAGAGUGGAAUUCCAUGUGGAGCGGUGAAAUGCGUAGAUAUAUGGAGGAACACCAGUGGCGAAGGCGACGCUCUGGUCUGUAACUGACGCUGAGGCUCGAAAGCGUGGGUAGCAAACAGG
rnacentral:rRNA from 1 species